UUGAAACACCGGUUCUCAUACGAUCACCGAAGUUAAGCAACGUCGGGCCUGGUCCGUAACUAGAUGAGUGAUUGUUUGGGAAUACUAAAGG